UAACCCUUGGCAUCCUACACAUGUUGC
rnacentral:piRNA from 1 species